UGAGUAACCUGCCCUUAACUCUGGGAUAAGCCUGGGAAACUGGGUCUAAUACCGGAUAUGACUCCUCAUCGCAUGGUGGGGGGUGGAAAGCUUUUGUGGUUUUGGAUGGACUCGCGGCCUAUCAGCUUGUUGGUGAGGUAAUAGCUCACCAAGGCGAUGACGGGUAGCCGGCCUGAGAGGGUGACCGGCCACACUGGGACUGAGACACGGCCCAGACUCCGUACGGGAGCAG
rnacentral:rRNA from 1 species